rnacentral:rRNA from 1 species
GACGAACGCUGGCGGCGUGCUUAACACAUGCAAGUCGAACGGAAAGGCCCUGCUUUUGUGGGGUGCUCGAGUGGCGAACGGGUGAGUAACACGUGAGUAACCUGCCCUUGACUUUGGGAUAACUUCAGGAAACUGGGGCUAAUACCGGAUAGGAGCUCCUGCUGCAUGGUGGGGGUUGGAAAGUUUCGGCGGUUGGGGAUGGACUCGCGGCUUAUCAGCUUGUUGGUGGGGUAGUGGCUUACCAAGGCUUUGACGGGUAGCCGGCCUGAGAGGGUGACCGGCCACAUUGGGACUGAGAUACGGCCCAGACUCCUACGGGAGGCAGCAGUGGGGAAUAUUGCACAAUGGGCGGAAGCCUAAUGCAGCAACGCCGAGUGCGGGAUGACGGCCUUCGGGUUGUAAACCGCUUUCGCCUGUGACGAAGCGUGAGUGACGGUAAUGGGUAAAGAAGCACCGGCUAACUACGUG